AACGAACGCUGGCGGCAUGCCUAACACAUGCAAGUCGAACGAGACCUUCGGGUCUAGUGGCGCACGGGUGCGUAACGCGUGGGAACCUGCCCUUAGGUUCGGAAUAACUCCCCGAAAGGGGUGCUAAUACCGGAUAAUGUCUUCGGACCAAAGAUUUAUCGCCUUUGGAUGGGCCCGCGUUGGAUUAGCUAGUUGGUAGGGUAAAAGCCUACCAAGGCGACGAUCCAUAGCUGGUCUGAGAGGAUGAUCAGCCACACUGGGACUGAGACACGGCCCAGACUCCUACGGGAGGCAGCAGUGGGGAAUAUUGGACAAUGGGCGAAAGCCUGAUCCAGCAAGGCCGCGUGAGUGAUGAAGGCCUUAGGGUUGUAAAGCUCUUUUACCCGGGAUGAUAAUGACAGUACCGUGAGAAUAAGCUCCGGCUAACUCCGUG
rnacentral:rRNA from 1 species